GUCUUUACUUCAGUGCACAGAUAAUAAAAAUGGAACUACACAGAGAUUAGCAUGGCCUCUGUGCAAGGAUACCAUGCAAAUUUGUAAAGCAUGACAUAUUAAA